GUGCACCAGGCGAGAAAACUUCACACUGUGCGAAAGCACGAUGAGGGAAUCCCAAGUGCUUGCACGUAAGUGUAAGCUGUUUCUCUGUCUAAAACGCAGAGAGAGUAAGGGCUGGGUAAGACGGGUGCCAGCCGCCGCGGUAAUACCUGCAGCUCAAGUGGUGACCGUUAUUAUUGGGCCUAAAACGUCCGUAGCCGGUUUAAUAAAUGCCUGGGUAAAUUGUGUAGCUUAACUAUACGAAUUCCGGGUAGACUGUUAAACUUGAGACCGGGAGAAGUUAGAGGUACUCCUGGGGUAGAGGUGAAAUUCUGUAAUCCUAGGGGGACCACCAGUGGCGAAGGCGUCUAACUAGAACGGGUCUGACGGUGAGGGACGAAGCCCUGGGGCG
rnacentral:rRNA from 1 species